AUGUAUGUAUCUCUAUGUAUGCAUGUCUUUCUGUCUAUCUAUCUCUAUUUAUCUAUCUGUCUGUCUAUCUAUCUAUCUAUAUAUCGUACUAGAGAGAUAGAUAGAGAGAGAUAGAUCGAUAGAUAGACAGACAGACAGACAGAUAGAUAGAU